CUGUAGAGUUUGAUCCUGGCUCAGAUUGAACGCUGGCGGCAUGCCUUACACAUGCAAGUCGAACGGUAACGCGGGGCAACCUGGCGACGAGUGGCGAACGGGUGAGUAAUGUAUCGGAACGUGCCCAGUUGUGGGGGAUAACUGCUCGAAAGAGCAGCUAAUACCGCAUACGACCUGAGGGUGAAAGCGGGGGAUCGCAAGACCUCGCGCAAUUGGAGCGGCCGAUAUCAGAUUAGGUAGUUGGUGGGGUAAAGGCCCACCAAGCCAACGAUCUGUAGCUGGUCUGAGAGGACGACCAGCCACACUGGGACUGAGACACGGCCCAGACUCCUACGGGAGGCAGCAGUGGGGAAUUUUGGACAAUGGGCGAAAGCCUGAUCCAGCCAUGCCGCGUGUCUGAAGAAGGCCUUCGGGUUGUAAAGGACUUUUGUCAGGGAGGAAAUCCCUAGCGUUAAUACCGCUGGGGGAUGACAGUACCUGAAGAAUAAGCACCGGCUAACUACGUGCCAGCAGCCGCGGUAAUACGUAGGGUGCGAGCGUUAAUCGGAAUUACUGGGCGUAAAGCGUGCGCAGGCGGUU
rnacentral:ncRNA from 1 species